AAAUGAAGGCAGCCCCCACCUCUCAGAUUUAUUGUGAAGAGUUGAGGAAGCAGUAUACUUAAACCACUCAGAACAGUGACUUGAUACUUAAUGCUGAGUAUUACUUAUUGCUAUUAAUCACACAUUCUGAAAUUUCUAAUACAUUUUUUUUUACCGGGUAUGAUGAAAACACGCAGUCCAUGGAUGCGGGUUUUCCCAAAGAGACAACUCAAGACUUUCCCGGAAUUGGCAAAAAAGUUGAUGCUGUCUUCCAAGAUGGAGAUAAUAAAUGCAUGCUCAGUAAUUCUGGGCAAGAUGGCAAGCCGCCUGCGGGCUCCUUCCUGUGAAUCAAAGGCGCAGAAGUAAGGGGAGGCCGGUGAAUCCUAGAAUAGACGCAAGCGGGGAGAAAGCCUGAGUGGCAUGGGAAGAGGAAACAGCACCCCGAUGGAGACAUGUCGUGUAAGAAGUUGCUGCGGCCAAGGUCAAAGAGGUAGGCUUUACUCCCAGCAGAGCCCGACAUGGGGCCCGUCCCGGGGCUGGAACCCACAACCCUAAGAUGAAGACCUGAGGACGCACGGCUGUCCUGGGAGAUCGUCUCUUACACGACUGACGGAAAAUGGUCACUCUUGCUCUGGGUGCCGGGCGGUGGGCUGAGCGCCUCCCAUCACACCUGCACCUGCCUGGAGUCUUUACAGCCUUCCGGCCACGGGGGCACCACUGAGGAGACCCAGGCUUCAGGAUGGGACCUCGCGGCAAUAAGUGGCUCAUCAGGGAUGUGAAACCGAGGCACAGAGACUGAGGAACCUGUCCAAGGUCAGGUGAAUGGAGGUGGGGGGUGGUGAAAGGUCAAACUCAGGCCUCCAGACCUUGGCCCCACCUACAAAAGAGAGACUGGCCGCCUGUGAGGACACGAGGCUCUUCAGUUCGGGCUCCACCCCCUUGCCCUAGGCAAUCACACUCGCAGAACUGGGGAGAAGGAAGAGCCAGAAUGUCCCCAUGGUGACCUCAGUACAACAUUUAAACAAUCCUGAGAUGACAGGUCAACUCUGGUCCGUGACUUCGCUGAGCUCCAACAGAAAUAGCUUCGGAGGUGGGGUUAUAAAACCAAACCUGGGCCCCCAACUCCAUUUACUUGUUAGCUGGGUGACCUUGAAUCACUCGCUUAACCUGUUUACAUGAAAGUGAUUUUGCAAAGGCUCUGAGGACAACACCUGGCCUAUAACGUUUGUCCAGUAGACAUUUACGUGACACAGUCUUCCUAUCCAAAGUCAAACUGAGGACCAGGGUGGACGCAGGUGGUCCUGGGAUUUUAGGACAUAAUCUUCUCAAACCCCAUGCCAACCCACAUGAUCCUCAGGCGCAAUCACUCCACACAGUUACUAACCACCUCCCGCUGAAAAUGUUCCCGUUGAAAAUGAUAGCCUGCGGGAGGCGGAUAAGGGCCCCCAAACGCCCCAAUUCCAGGAUGCCUAAUCCCUGAAAUCUGUGAACACGUUUGCUUACGUGGCUGAGCAGACUUUCCAGGUGUGAAUAAGGUUGAGGACCUUGACAUGGGGGAACGGCCUGGGUUAUCCAGGUGGCCUCAAUCCAAUCGUGCAAAUCCUUAAAGUGGAGAAACCCUUGCUGGUCAGGGCAGGAGGUGAGGCAGGGAGAAGGGGUGGGGAGAAGCAGGCUGGCUGGCUUUGCAGCCGCAGCAAGGGGCCACAGCCAAGGUGUGCAGGCCGCCCUGGAAGCUGGGAACACCUCCUCUGGAGCCUCCAGAAGGGACUGGAGCCCUGCUCACAGUUGGGUUGUAGCCCGGAGAGACUCCCAGCAGAUCUGUGACCACAGAACGGUGAGAUGAUCCAUUGUCUUGUUUCAAGGGCACCGAGCUCGUGGGUAACUUGUUAAAGCAGCCAGAGGAGGCUGGGGCACUGCCCGGGACAGUCGUCAGGGGGUAGGCCGUGUUUUUCUGGUAUUUUAGGCCGAAAAAAUUAGUUGAGAUUCAUUGACCCAGACGAGAACAGAGUCUAGUGGGGACUUUGCAGG